CGAAGUGGUUUGAGCUAGAUAUAACUGUAUUAUUAGUAUUUUGUGUAUGGUGUGGCAAAACGAUAUCAAAAGUUAUGUGUAGGGGUGAUAGGCCUAUCAAAAACCAAGAUAACUUGAUUCUAAUGAAAGGUAUUUAGUACAAUAUUAUACAUUUAUUAAGUGGUGAGGCUUAAUAAUAAUAUAAAGAUAUGUUAUAGGCGUAUAUUAAUUUAUAAUAAAAAAAUAUAUAUAUUAUAAUAUUAUUUCACUUUAAUUGUUUAUAGAUAUUAAUUGGAUGUAGCUAAACUUUGUAUGUUUUAAUAAUGUUAGUAUUAGUAUAUUGGUGCUGGGUUUAUUUGAGGAACUCGGCAAAAUUGUUUCUCAACUGUUUAUCAAAAACAUAACUGUGUGGGCCUAUACAUAGCUUUUUCUGCUCAAUGAUUUUAUUAAAUAGCCGCAGUA
rnacentral:rRNA from 1 species